rnacentral:rRNA from 1 species
UAAUGCAACGGAUCCCAUUAGAACUCCGCAGUUAAUCACGCUUCGGCUAGAGUAGUACUGGGAUGGGUGACCUCCCGAGAAGUCAUAGUGUUGCACCCU